rnacentral:rRNA from 1 species
CAGUAGCCACGGUAAUACGGAGGGUGCAAGCGUUAAUCGGAAUUACUGGGCGUAAAGCGCACGCAGGCGGUCUGACAAGUCAGAUGUGAAAUCCCCGGGCUUAACCUGGGAACUGCAUUUGAAACUGUCAGGCUGGAGUCUUGUAGAGGGGGGUAGAAUUCCAGGUGUAGCGGUGAAAUGCGUAGAGAUCUGGAGGAAUACCGGUGGCGAAGGCGGCCCCCUGGACAAAGACUGACGCUCAGGUGCGAAAGCGUGGGGAGCAAACAGGAUUAGAUACCCGCGUAGUCCCUGUCUCUUAUAC